rnacentral:lncRNA from 1 species
CCGACUUUUUUAUAACACCCACGCAUUUGAACUCGAAAAAUGGCUUGAAAAUAUACGUAAAACGAUAAUAAAUGUAGUUUUUUGUAUUUUAUUUAAGAGAGCCCGUUUUAUGCGUAAGGGGUUAUUAGUGAUCAUGGCGUCUUUAACAAAGUGGGAAGAAUGUGUUUUGCAGUAUUUGGAGGGGAGAAUUAUUUGUUUAAAGAAAGACAAAGACGAUGGGGAGGAAAAGAUUGAUAUAGGCAAAAUAGAGGAGUUGAUGAUCGAGCAAGGUCUCAUACCUGAUUUUGUGAAGGG